rnacentral:rRNA from 1 species
GAUGAACGCUGGCGCCGUGCCUAACACAAACAAGUCGCGCGAUUUACUUAGGUGAAGAGCGGCGGACGGGUGAGUAACGCGUGGGUAACCUGCCCUGUACACACGGAUAACAUACCGAAAGGUAUGAUAAUACGGGAUAAUAUGCUUUAGUCGCAUGGCUGAAGUAUCAAAGCUCCGGCGGUACAGGAUGGACCCGCGUCUGAUUUGCUAGUUGGUAAGGUAACGGAUUACCAAGGCCACGAUCAGUAGCCGACCUGAGAGGGUGAGCGGCCACAUUGAAACUGAUACACGGCCAAAACUCCUACGGGAUUCAGGAGUGGGGAAUAUGGCACAUUGGUCGAAAGGCUGCUGCAGAAACGCCGCGUGAGCGAUGAAGGCCUGAGGGUCGUAAAGCUCUGUCCUCAAGGAAGAUAAUGACGGUACUUGAGGAGGAAGCCCCGGCUAAGUACGUGCCAGCAGCCGCCGUAA